rnacentral:rRNA from 1 species
GAGUUUGAUCAUGGCUCAGAUUGAACGCUGGCGGCAUGCCUUACACAUGCAAGUCGAACGGCAGCAUGAUCUAGCUUGCUAGAUUGAUGGCGAGUGGCGAACGGGUGAGUAAUACAUCGGAACGUGCCCUGUAGUGGGGAUAACUAGUCGAAAGAUUAGCUAAUACCGCAUACGACCUGAGGGUGAAAGUGGGGGACCGCAAGGCCUCAUGCUAUAGGAGCGGCCGAUGUCUGAUUAGCUAGUUGGUGGGUAAAGGCCCACCAAGGCGACGAUCAGUAGCUGGUCUGAGAGGACGAUCAGCCACACUGGGACUGAGACACGGCCCAGACUCCUACGGGAGGCAGCAGUGGGGAAUUUUGGACGAAUGGGCGAAAGCCUGAUCCAGCAAUGCCGCGUGUGUGAAGAAGGCCUCGGUUGUAAG